UCGUAACAAGGUUUCUGUAGGUGAACCUGCAGAAGGAUCAUUAGUGAAGAUUUGGGCGGGCCAUACGGACGCCAAAAAGUGUCCCUGGCCGCCUACACCCACUAUACAUCCACAAACCCGUGUGCACUGUCUUGGAGAAAGGCUUCAGAGAAGUUUUUUGUGGCCUCUCUUGGGGUCUUUCUUCGCUACAAACUCGAAUGGUUAGUAUGAACGUGGAACUUGGUUGGACCGUCACUGGCCAACAAACUAUACACAACUUUCGACAACGGAUCUCUUGGUUCUCCCAUCGAUGAAGAACGCAGCGAAACGCGAUAGGUAAUGUGAAUUGCAGAAUUCCGUGAAUCAUCGAAUCUUUGAACGCACCUUGCGCUCUAUGGCAAUCCGUAGAGCAUGCCUGUUUGAGUGCCAUGAAAUCUCCCACCCCAAGCGGUUUUUAAAUGAAACGGCUUGGCGGAUGGGGUCUGGAUGGGUGCCUCUGCCUGCGCUACCUAGCACAGACUCGCCCGAAAUGCAUGAGCGCCUUGAGACACUUUGCAUCCGCCUCUCUGUUUGGGAGGAGGCGGCCAAGCAGUGUUUUUCUCCUGGCAUGGCAUGAUACGUCAUUUGCUAUGUCGCCUAAAGGAGGAAUGUUUGGUUGUGUCUGCGUGUGCUUCGAACUUGCCUCUGUGGCACAUCCCAAUUUCACUUCUGGUCUCAAAUCAGGUAGGAUCACCCGCUGAACUUAAGCAUAUCAAUA
rnacentral:rRNA from 1 species